AUGUCUGAUCCAGGAGUCAGAAAAGCUCAAGGACCCAGGAGAAGGUACAACAACCGCAGUCUUCAAAGCUACCUCAACGCAGAGACCCAAAAUGGGAAAGGAAAAGACUCAUCAACAUCGUGGUCAGGGCAAGUCAACCACUACCGGUCACCUGAUCUAAAAUGUGGUGGAAUUGACAAACGAACCACUGAAAAAUUUGAGAAGGAGGCUGCUGAGAUGGGAAAAGGCUCAUUCAAGUAUGCCUGGGUUUUGGACAAACUUAAAACUGAGCGUGAGUGUGGUAUCACUAUUGACAUCUCUCUGUGGAAAUCUGAGACCAGCAAAUAUUAUGUGACUAUCAUUGAUGCCCCAGGACACAGAGACUUUAUCAAAAACAUGAUUACAGGCACAUCUCAGGCUGACUAUGCUGUCCUGAUUAUUGCUGCUGGUGUUGGUGAAUUUGAAGCUGGUAUCUCCAAGAACAGGCAAACCCAUGAGCAUGCCCUUCUGGCUUACACAUUGGGUAUGAAACAGCUAAUUGUUGGUGUCAACAAAAUGGAUUCCACUGAGCCACCCUACAGCCAGAAAAGAUACAAGGAAAUUGUUAAGGAAGUCAGCACCUACAUUAAGAAAAUUGGCUACAACCCUGACACAGUAACAUUUGUGCCAAUUUCUGGCUGGAAUGGUGACAAAAUGCUAGAGCCAAGUGCCAAUAUGCCUUGGUUCAAGGGAUGGAAGGUCACCCAUAAGGAUGGCAGUGCCAGUAGAACCAAACUGCUGGAAGCUUUGGACUGUAUCCUACCACCAACUCGUCCAACUGACAAGCCUCUGCAACUGCCCCUCUAGGAGGGUAUUGGUACCGUCCCUGUGGGCAGAGUGGAGACGGGUGUCCUCAAACCUAGCAUGGUAGUUACCUUUGCUCCAGUCAGUGUUACAACUGAAGUCAAGUCUGUUGAAAUGUGCCAUGAGGCUUUGAGUGAAGGUCUUCCUGGGGACAAUGUAGGCUUCAACAUAAAGAAUGUGUCUGUCAAAGAUGUUCAACAUGGUAAUGUUGCUGGUGACAGCAAAAACGACCCACCAAUGGAAGCAGCUGGCUUCACUGCUCAGGUGAUUAUCCUGAACCAUCCAGGCCAAAUUAGUGCUGGCUAUGCCCCUGUGCUGGAUUGUUACACAGCUCACAUAGCUUGCAAGUUCGCUGAGCUUAAAGAAAAGAUUGAUCACCAUUCUGGGAAGAAGCUGGAAGAUGGUCCUAAAUUCUUGAAAUCUGGUGAUGCAGCCAUUGUUGACAUGGUUCCAGGCAAGCCCAUGUGUGUUGAGAGCUUCUCUGAUUAUCCUCCUCUGGGUCAUUUUGCUGUUCGUGACAUGAGGCAGACAGUUGCUGUGGGUGUCAUCAAAGCCAUGGACAAGAAGGCUGCUGGAGCAGGCAAGGUCACCAAGUCUGCCCAGAAAGCCACCAGUCUUAAUCAGUGGUAG